UACAGAGAGUGCAAGCGUUAAUCGGAAUUACUGGGCGUAAAGCGCACGUAGGUGGAUAUUUAAGUCGAAUGUGAAAGCCCUGGGCUUAACCUAGGAAUUGCAUCCGAUACUGAAUAUCUAGAGUAUGGUAGAGGGAAGUGGAAUUUCCGGUGUAGCGGUGAAAUGCGUAGAUAUCGGAAGGAACACCAGUGGCGAAAGCGGCUUCCUGGACCAAUACUGACACUCAGGUGCGAAAGCGUGGGGAGCAAACAGG
rnacentral:rRNA from 1 species